rnacentral:rRNA from 1 species
UGGGGAAUAUUGCACAAUGGGCGAAAGCCUGAUGCAGCAACGCCGCGUGAGUGAUGAAGGCCUUCGGGUUGUAAAGCUCUGUCUUCUGGGACGAUAAUGACGGUACCAGAGGAGGAAGCCACGGCUAACUACGUGCCAGCAGCCGCGGUAAUACGUAGGUGGCAAGCGUUGUCCGGAUUUACUGGGCGUAAAGGAUGCGUAGGCGGAUACUUAAGUCAGAUGUGAAAAUCCCGGGCUUAACUUGGGAACUGCAUUUGAAACUGGGUAUCUAGAGUGCGGGAGAGGAAAGUGGAAUUCCUAGUGUAGCGGUGAAAUGCGUAGAGAUUAGGAAGAACACCAGUGGCGAAGGCGACUUACUGGACUGUAACUGACGCUGAGUCACGAAAGCGUGGGUAGCAAACA